AUUGAACGCUGGCGGCAGGCCUAACACAUGCAAGUCGAGCGGCAGCGGAAGGAAGCUUGCUUCCUUGCCGGCGAGCGGCGGACGGGUGAGUAAGGUAUGGGGAUCUGGCCGAAGGCGGGGGAUAACCACUGGAAGCGGUGGCUAAUACCGCAUAAUCUCUAAGGAGCAAAGUGGGGGACCGUUCAGGCCUCACACCUUCGGAUGAACCCAUAUGAGAUUAGCUAGUAGGUGGGGUAAUGGCUCACCGAGGCGACGAUCUCUAGCUGGUCUGAGAGGAGGACCAGCCACACUGGGACUGGGACACGGCCCAGACUCCUACGGGAGGCAGCAGUGGGGAAUAUUGCACAAUGGGCGCAAGCCUGAUGCAGCCAUGCCGCGUGUAUGAAGAAGGCCUUCGGGUUGUAAAGUACUUUCAGUCGUGAGGAAGGUGUUAAGGUUAAUAACCUUAGCAAUUGACGUUAGCGACAGAAGAAGCACCGGCUAACUCCGUGCCAGCCGCCGCGGUAA
rnacentral:rRNA from 1 species